UACGAAGGGGGCUAGCGUUGUUCGGAAUCACUGGGCGUAAAGCGCACGUAGGCGGUUUGUUAUGUCGGAUGUGAAAGCCCUUGGCUCAACUGAGGAAGUGCAUCCGAAACUGGCAAGCUAGAGUACUAAAGAGGGUCGCGGAAUUCCCGGUGUAGAGGUGAAAUUCGUAGAUAUCGGGAGGAACACCGGUGGCGAAGGCGGCGACCUGGGUAGAUACUGACGCUGAGGUGCGAAAGCGUGGGGAGCAAACAGG
rnacentral:rRNA from 1 species